rnacentral:misc_RNA from 1 species
CUGGGGGACGGUCUCCGACCAUUGGCCUCCCUUCACCGCCGACUAGCGACCACGUGCUCAGUGACGCCUAGGUCAUCGGCGCCGAAGUUUGGAGGCCCUGUACGUGCUUCACGUGCGGGUUCUUCAAGAAUGCCUCUGUCACUUCCUCCAUGGCCGAAGUCUGGGAGCGGCAAGAUAUUAUUUCUCCAAUUGCUAAACUUGUACUAA